rnacentral:rRNA from 1 species
UACACUCCUGCGGGAGGCAGCAGUGGGGAAUUUUGGACAAUGGGCGAAAGCCUGAUCCAGCCAUGCCGCGUGCAGGAUGAAGGCCUUCGGGUUGUAAACUGCUUUUGUACGGAACGAAACGGCCUUUUCUAAUAAAGAGGGCUAAUGACGGUACCGUAAGAAUAAGCACCGGCUAACUACGUGUCAGCAGCCGCGGUAAUACGUAGGGUGCAAGCGUUAAUCGGAAUUACUGGGCGUAAAGCGUGCGCAGGCGGUUAUGUAAGACAGUUGUGAAAUCCCCGGGCUCAACCUGGGAACUGCAUCUGUGACUGCAUAGCUAGAGUACGGUAGAGGGGGAUGGAAUUCCGCGUGUAGCAGUGAAAUGCGUAGAUAUGCGGAGGAACACCGAUGGCGAAGGCAAUCCCCUGGACCUGUACUGACGCUCAUGCACGAAAGCGUGGGGAGCAAACAGGAUUAGAUACCCCGGUAGUCCCAUGA